UACGUAGGGGCCUAGCGUUGUCCGGAUUUAUUGGGCGUAAAGAGCUCGUAGGCGGUUCGGUAAGUCAGGUGUGAAAUCUCCACGCUCAACGUGGAGGCGCCACCUGAAACUGCUGUGACUCGAGUCCGGUAGGGGAGUGUGGAAUUCCCGGUGUAGCGGUGAAAUGCGCAGAUAUUGGGAAGAACACCGGUGGCGAAGGCGGCGCUCUGGACCGAGACUGACGCUGAGGCGCGAAGGCGUGGGGAGCAAACAGG
rnacentral:rRNA from 1 species